UUAGUAACGGCGAGUGAAGCGGCAAAAGCUCAAAUUUGAAAUCUGGCACCUUCGGUGUCCGAGUUGUAAUUUGAAGAAGGUAACUUUGGAGUUGGCUCUUGUCUAUGUUCCUUGGAACAGGACGUCACAGAGGGUGAGAAUCCCGUGCGAUGAGAUGCCCAAUUCUAUGUAAAGUGCUUUCGAAGAGUCGAGUUGUUUGGGAAUGCAGCUCUAAGUGGGUGGUAAAUUCCAUCUAAAGCUAAAUAUUGGCGAGAGACCGAUAGCGAACAAGUACAGUGAUGGAAAGAUGAAAAGAACUUUGAAAAGAGAGUGAAAAAGUACGUGAAAUUGUUGAAAGGGAAGGGCUUGAGAUCAGACUUGGUAUUUUGCGAUCCUUUCCUUCUUGGUUGGGUUCCUCGCAGCUUACUGGGCCAGCAUCGGUUUGGAUGGUAGGAUAAUGACUAAGGAAUGUGGCUCUACUUCGGUGGAGUGUUAUAGCCUUGGUUGAUACUGCCUGUCUAGACCGAGGACUGCGUCUUUUGACUAGGAUGUUGGCAUAAUGAUCUUAAGCC
rnacentral:rRNA from 1 species